UACGAAGGGGGCUAGCGUUGUUCGGAAUUACUGGGCGUAAAGCGUGCGCAGGCGGCUUCUCAAGUCAGGGGUGAAAGCCCAGAGCUCAACUCUGGAAUGGCCUUUGAGACUAGAGGACUUGGGUACGGGAGGAGGUAGUGGAAUUCCGAGUGUAGAGGUGAAAUUCGUAGAUAUUCGGAAGAACACCAGUGGCGAAGGCGGCUCACUGGCCCGUUACCGACGCUCAGGCGCGACAGCGUGGGGAGCAAACAGG
rnacentral:rRNA from 1 species